UUUCGGAUCUUUCUGGCUAAGGUGUUUCUAUGUUCCACUCGUUGCUCCUUUGCUAAAUGUUUCUUAAGGUGGUCAGCCAAGAGAUAGUCUUGUCAAAGCUUUUAUCAUCUAAAAAAUAGAAGGAAAAAUGGAGUGGCUAGGUGUGGGGAAAAAGGAAAGGGAAAUGGAAUGAGAGAAAAGAACGUAGAAUGAGAAUGUGUUAUGAAUGAAGGGAUGAAGAACGGGGGAUG
rnacentral:lncRNA from 1 species